UACGUAGGGGGCAAGCGUUACCCGGAUUCACUGGGCGUAAAGCGGGUUUAGGCGGCUCGGUAAGUCGGGUGUGAAAUCCCACGGCUCAACCGUGGAAUUGCGCCCGAAACUGCUGAGCUUGGGGCCGGUAGAGGGAGACGGAACUGCCGGUGUAGGGGUGAAAUCCGUAGAUAUCGGCAGGAACGCCGGUGGGGAAGCCGGUCUCCGGGGCCGCGCCCGACGUUGAGGCCCGAAAGCUAGGGGAGCAAACCGG
rnacentral:rRNA from 1 species